GACGAAGGAUGCAAGCGUUAUCCGGAUUCAUUGGGUUUAAAGGGAGCGUAGGUGGCCUUAUAAGUCAGUGGUGAAAUCUCUGGGCUUAACCCAGAAAUUGCCAUUGAUACUUUAGGGCUUGAGUAUAGAUGCCGUUGGCGGAAUAUGACAUGUAGUGGUGAAAUACAUAGAGAUGUCAUAGAACACCGAUUGCGAAGGCAGCUAACGAAACUAUAACUGACACUGAGGCUCGAAAGUGUGGGGAUCAAACAGG
rnacentral:rRNA from 1 species